CCUACGGGAGGCAGCAGUGGGGAAUCUUGCGCAAUGGGCGAAAGCCUGACGCAGCAACGCCGCGUGCGGGAAGAAGGCCUUCGGGUUGUAAACCGCUUUCAGAAGGAACGAAACUGACGGUACUUUCAGAAGAAGGUGCGGCCAACUACGUGCCAGCAGCCGCGGUGACACGUAGGCACCAAGCGUUGUCCGGAUUUAUUGGGCGUAAAGAGCUCGUAGGCGGUUCGGUAAGUCGGAUGUGAAAACUUUGGGCUCAACCCAAAGCGUGCACUCGAUACUGCCGUGACUGGAGUUCGGUAGGGGAGCGGGGAAUUCCUAGUGUAGCGGUGAAAUGCGCAGAUAUUAGGAGGAACACCGGUGGCGAAGGCGCCGCUCUGGGCCGAUACUGACGCUGAGGAGCGAAAGCGUGGGUAGCAAACAGGAUUAGAUACCCUGGUAGUCCACGCCGUAAACGUUGGGCACUAGGUGUGGGUCUCAACCACGAGAUCCGCGCCGUCGCUAACGCAUUAAGUGCCCCGCCUGGGGAUACGGCCGCAGGUUAAACUCAAAGGAAUUGACGGCNGAGANGCGAGCGACACGAGGAGAG
rnacentral:rRNA from 1 species